UACGAAGGGGGCUAGCGUUGCUCGGAAUCACUGGGCGUAAAGGGUUCGUAGGCGGUGUGGCAAGUCGGGAGUGAAAUCUCUGGGCUCAACCCAGAGACUGCUUCCGAAACUGCUGUGCUUGAGUGUGGGAGAGGCGCGUGGAAUUGCAGGUGUAGCGGUGAAAUGCGUAGAUAUCUGCAGGAACACCCGUGGCGAAAGCGGCGCGCUGGACCACUACUGACGCUGAGGAACGAAAGCUAGGGGAGCAAACAGG
rnacentral:rRNA from 1 species